rnacentral:rRNA from 1 species
UGGGGAAUAUUCCGCAAUGGCCGAAAGUCUGACGGAGCAACGCCGCGUGAGUGAUGAAGGUUUUCGGACUGUAAAGCUCUGCUGUUUAGGACGAAAGUGCCUGUUGCGAACAGUUACAGGUAUUGACGGUACUAGACGAGGAAGCCACGGCUAACUACGUGCCAGCAGCCGCGGUAAUACGUAGGUGGCAAGCGUUGUCCGGAAUUAUUGGGCGUAAAGAGCAUGUAGGCGGAGAUUUAAGUCUGUUGUGAAAAUGCGGGGCUCAACCCCGUAUUGCGAUGGAAACUGAAUUUCUUGAGUGCAGGAGAGGAAAGGGGAAUUCCCAGUGUAGCGGUGAAAUGCGUAGAUAUUGGGAGGAACACCAGUGGCGAAGGCGCCUUUCUGGACUGUGUCUGACGCUGAGAUGCGAAAGCCAGGGUAGCGAACGG